rnacentral:lncRNA from 1 species
UGAUUUUUGAUGUCUACAUCUCUUGCUUACAUUUUACUUUGGAGGUUGCAAGAUCAACAUAACCUGAGUUUGGAAAAUAUUUAACAAAAUUCAAAAGAGGAAAAAAAAUCACUUCUAUUAAAAUGUACCUGAAUAAGAGGUAUAGAAAGCACAGAUGUGGUAAUGUUGAAGGAAAGAAGGCACACAUGGGAGCUUAUGCUGUAUAAUUCCAUUUAUACAAUGUAUCAACACAGGUGCAAAAAGUACAAUUAGCUGCUACAUCUCUGAGAAGAAAGAAUUUUGCUGAUGAUCUAACAGAACUUGUGAGUCAUCCAUCAGGAGAUGUUUUAAUGGUGCCAAGAACUCAGUAAAGUCUGUGAUGGAUUUGGCAAGGUCAUUUGUCAUUUUCACAUCAGCAUGGUUUUGGCACCUGCUUCUCAGUAAAGAAUUGCACUGUUGGAAACUCACUUUUGACAAAGAUGGUCUGCUUCUGACCAAAUGGUUUAUGCUACAGCAGAGAAGGAGAAGGAUGCUGAACCUUCAGAUAUCAGGCCAGCAUUCCCAAAAGAAAGAAGGAAGAAUGGUGAAAGGCAAAGGAUCAAAGAAAUAGAAUUCUUUCACAUCCCUGAAGAGAUUAUGAAAUCUGAUAGCCCUCCCAAGAGAUAUCAAUCAUGAUGCUACUUUGUACUUCCCCUUCUUAUUCACGUUGCAGUGAAAUACGCUUCCCUGAUCCAGUGACUCUGGGCUUGUUGAGGCCGUGGAGUGUGACAAGACAUAAUUCAUAGAGGCUUCAAACGUAGCUUGCGUGAGUAGGAUUCCUCUCAUAUGCUGCCAAGAUCCACUUCAAGAAGAACAUAUCACAGGUGUCAUUGGACCAAUGAGAACAGAAAAGCACUUGGAGUGGAUCCAAACAAUGUUGGUGAGGAAGUUCAGGAGAUUUAAAAAAAUGAAG